UCUCUUUCUGAGAGAGAUAGGUAGUGUGUGAGUGAUUGUUAAUCCUGUUAUUCUCUCUGCUAUCACAUGUAGUUAGGCAGUCAGGACAUGGUGUGCAACAGCUAGUUCACUCAGGUCUGACAUUCCAGGAUUUGGAACUGCUUGUAUCUCUCCUCCCCCCCCCCCCCCCCCCCCCCCCCCCCCCCCCCACACACACACACACACACCACACACUUUGCCUGUGUGCUGGCAAACCUGAAACCAUCACUCCAUCAGAUUCAAAGCAUAAAUCUAAAACUUUUUCAUUUUAAUUCCCAUAGAUCUGAGGGUUGCCCCUCCUGCCAGGAAUCAAAAACAUUCCUGUCAACCGUACUCUUACACAAAGCUACGGAAAAGUUAGUUGCUGACCCCUCAUUGUCUCUAAAAUCAUUAAUUUACUAUUCCAAGCUAUCAGAGUUUUACAGCAGGUGCUCCGUAAGCGCUCCUCUCUCACUCUCUAACCACAGCAGUUGAUGACAAGGGAGUUGUUAGGCAGCAGACUUUUUUUUUAUCUGGACACAGACCGGCAUGGUUGCCAAUCUAGCCGAACACUAUUCAGCACUUAUAGUAUAGCCAAAGUGUUGGCAGCUUUCUGUCAACAAUGAGCCACAGAUCCGAGUCAGAGAAAGCAGAGAAGCUGCCUCCAUAUUUUACCAGUGCCUUCUCAAACCCAGAGCCACGUCCAGGCUCGUUAUAUUGGCUAGUAACACACACACACGCACACACACACAAGCCUCCGUGCUCUCUCUGUAUUUUCUUAUGAGGCAGGCGAGGCAUAAGAGGGAUAUAAAUUAAAGCUGCAUCUACAUUUAUGCUUUUAGGUUUAUAACUUUGUUCUUUGUUGGAAGAAAAGUGGAAAUCUUUGGGGCAGUUCUUUUUUUAUUCAGCAUUUUGUUUUCCUUUGAGCUUGUUGCCCGCUUAAGGUUUGAACACAAAUGUUCACCUAGUGCUUUAGCGGUAACACUGUGGAUUGGCCAGAGUCUGUGCUGUGUGCACUCAGAGGCGCCUGAGGUUAUGAUGUCGAUUAUAGCUAAUUAUUCUGAAGAGUUACAAUCAUGGGCUUUUUUACUUUGUAAAUAAUCUGUGACAUAGUUUGGAAAAUAAAAGUGGAAAAAAAGAUACAAUAAAAAAAAAAAUCUGAUGCCCGUUAGUUUUGCGUACAUGACAGAUAAAUGGUGGUCCUUAGCUGUGCUGCAGUUCCACACUAUAUACUAAUACUACAUUUUUAUCUUAAUAGUAAACUGUUUUGGCAGUUAGGGCAUCUUUGUUUACACUACAUAGCAUACCCAGUUAGAAUUAGGAUUUAGUAUGGAAGUGGGACAUAGCUCUUGUUUCCACCUUGACCUAGGUUGCUUAUCUUGUGCUGGUCUUCACACGCAUAUGCAAUUUUUAAUUAAGAUGGUGCCCAUAUCUUUCAAAUACCAGAUAUUUAUUUUAUUAUGAUCAUUGUCAUUGUAUAAGAACACAGUUAGCUUUUUAGUGAAGCAUUUUUAAGGUGUUGUGAGAGUGGAGCGUAAAGUCCUAGUUUAUUAUUGUACAGGUGGAGUAGCUGUUGGUGAGCAGCAGGAGUGCUAGUUAGUUAGUUAGUUAGUUAUAAUUGUUGUCUUUGUGUUUGGCCAGAGUCUACCUCAGUGCAUAUGGAGGAAUCAGUCUAAAAAAGCCCAAAUCAUCCACGUCAGUCUCUCAAUAUCCCAUGAUUUUGAAUAAUAUCACUUUAUCGUACAUUACCAACACUGUUGAUGAAUUCCCUUCCCCUGUGAUGUAUUUAACCCCUCUGCCUCAGUUGUUUCUCAGUAUUCUCUUCUUCUUGUGGAUCGGGGGAAGCCGUCAUUGACCCCUGCAGUAUGUGGGUAUUGUUGGGAGCGACAUAUUCUGGCCCUUUGUUGUUUUUUAAUGUCUGCAUUUUAGAGUUUACGGAUAAGCUUACAAGAUAUAAAAGUAUUAUUCCUCUCCUUGCAAUUAUUUUACCCCAAAUUAUUAAAUGUGCAACAUCAGGCGGUAAAUUGGUAUUAUGCAUUUUCAGUUUAUAAAAUUACUCACAAGAGGCUUCCCCCGUGUGCUGGAAGAUGCAGCAUAGCUUUAUUGUGCAUAUUCCCCACUUUCCAUACACACCAUUCUCUAGACUGUAUUUAGUAGCGGCUGUACUGGGUUCUGGGGAUUUGACAGUAGCAUGAGUCCAAAACAAAAAGUCUCUUGGCUCUAAAUGCAUAUCCGUAAUAAACUACAUGCAGCCAAGGCUAACUAAGCUCUGCCCUGGACCCUCAUGCACCCUAAACCUGUAGUCUGGCAAAAAAGCCCUACUCUUUUUUUCAGUCAAGGAAUCUGUCUCUUUGUGUUCAAAACAGUUAACGUUCAAAUCCCACAUCUCCUCCAGUCGUCGUUGGUUUAUUUGUCUAUUUCUCUGUUCAGAUUUUGUUUUGUAUGUAUAUUUUUUCUACUGUGAAUAUCAAGAAAUAACCUUUAUUUUCUGUCAAUGCCAUGGAUUGGGUCUGUUUUAGCUGAUCAGGACACUGACGUCUGGGCUGGUUAAAAAGUUUUAAAGAGGAGGACCCCCCCCUCUGCAAAGAAAA